rnacentral:rRNA from 1 species
GCUAAACGCGAAGAACCUUACCUGGCCUUGGCAUCCAUGGAAUCCCGAAGAGAUUCGGGAGUGCCGCAAGGAACCAUGAGACAGGUGCUGCAUGGCUGUCGUCAGCUCGUGUCGUGAGAUGUUGGGUUAAGUCCCGCAACGAGCGCAACCCUUGUCCUUAGUUGCCAUCAUUAAGUUGGGAACUCUAAGGAGACCGCCGGUGACAAACCGGAGGAAGGUGGGGAUGACGUCAAGUCAUCAUGGCCUUUAUGGCCAGGGCUACACACGUGCUACAAUGGCAGGUACAGAGGGAAGCCAACCGGCGACGGGGAGCUAAUCCCAGAAAGCCUGUCUUAGUCCGGAUUGCAGUCUGCAACUCGACUGCAUGAAGUUGGAAUCGCUAGUAAUCGCAGAUCAGCAUUGCUGCGGUGAAUACGUUCCCGGGUCUUGUACACACCG